UGGCUUCGGGGUGCGGGUCUCGUGGCCACCUCCCACCCGUGUUGACCGACACCUGUUGCUUCGGCGGGCCCGCCAGGGCUCCCGCCCGGCCGCCGGGGGGCCUCGUCGCCCCCGGGCCCGCGCCCGCCGAAGACCCCUCGAACGCUGCCUUGAAGGUUGCCGUCUGAGUAUAAAAUCAAUCGUUAAAACUUUCAACAACGGAUCUCUUGGUUCCGGCAUCGAUGAAGAACGCAGCGAAAUGCGAUAAGUAAUGUGAAUUGCAGAAUUCCGUGAAUCAUCGAAUCUUUGAACGCACAUUGCGCCCCCUGGCAUUCCGGGGGGCAUGCCUGUCCGAGCGUCAUUGCUAACCCUCCAGCCCGGCUGGUGUGUUGGGCCGCCGUCCCCUCCGGGGGACGGGCCCGAAAGGCAGCGGCGGCGCCGCGUCCGGUCCUCGAGCGUAUGGGGCUUUGUCACACGCUCUGGUAGGCCCGGCCGGCUUGCUGGCCAACGACCUCACGGUCACCUAACUUCUCUCUUAGGUUGACCUCGGAUCAGGUAGGGAUACCCGCUGAACUUAAGCAUAUCAAUAAGCCGGAGGA
rnacentral:rRNA from 1 species